CGGCGGUUGCGGGUACGCAUGGCACUCGACCAAAAGUUGCUGAUCAAGUGGAGCAGCCAAUUGGGCGGCCAAUAUUUUGCUCCUCAGGCGAGCUAAAUCAACCAAGUUAUAACCAUGAAUCAAAGGUGGGUUUUUGUCGGGGCAAAACUGGGGCAAACAUGAAUCUGGCUUUAUCUAGGGUUUGGUUCACGGGAACCCAAAGUUCAGCGAGCGUACAACUUGUGGAGGUAUCUUCAGGCAAUCGGGCUGUGAUG
rnacentral:lncRNA from 1 species